GGGGCUUUAGCUCAGCUGGGAGAGCGCGUGCUUUGCAAGCAUGAGGUCAGGGGUUCGAACCCCCUAAGUUCCACCA
rnacentral:tRNA from 1 species